GCGAGUUGUGAAAACGUAAUCCAAAACAACUCUCAGCAACGGAUAUCUUGGCUCUUGCAACGAUGAAGAACGCAGCGAAAUGCGAUACGUAUUGUGAAUUGCAGAAUUCCGCGAAUCAUCGAGUCUUUGAACGCAAGUUGCGCCCGAGGCUUGUCCAAGG
rnacentral:rRNA from 1 species